rnacentral:rRNA from 1 species
AAUAUUGGACAAUGGGGGCAACCCUGAUCCAGCCAUGCCGCCGGGGUGAAGAAGGUCUUCGGAUUGUAAAGCACUCUAUGUUGGGAGGAAGGGCGUUAGGUUAAUACACUGAAGUUGUGACGUUACGAACAGAAUAGGCACCGGCUAACUCUGUUCGAGCAGCCGCGGUAAUACAGAGGGUGCAAGCGUUAAUCGGAAUUACUGGGCGUAAAGGGCGCGUAGGUGGUUCAGUAAGAUGGGUGUGAAAUCCCCGGGCUUAACCUGGGAACUGCUUUCAUAACUGCUGAGCUAGAGUACGGUAGAGGGUAGUGGAAUUUCCUGUGUAGCGGUGAAAUGCGUAGAUAUAGGAAGGAACACCAGUGGCGAAGGCGACUACCUGGACUGAUACUGACACUGAGGUGCGAAAGCGUGGGGAGCAAAC